rnacentral:rRNA from 1 species
UACGAAGGGGGCUAGCGUUGCUCGGAAUCACUGGGCGUAAAGGGUGCGUAGGCGGGUCUUUAAGUCCGGGGUGAAAUCCUGGAGCUCAACUCCAGAACUGCCUUUGAUACUGGCGAUCUCGAGUCCGGGAGAGGUGAGUGGAACUGCGAGUGUAGAGGUGAAAUUCGUAGAUAUUCGGAAGAACACCAGUGGCGAAGGCGGCUCACUGGCCCGGUACUGACGCUGAUGUGCGAAAGCGUGGGGAGCAAACAGG